AGUGAACGCUGGCGAUAGGCCUAACACAUGCAAGUCGAACGGCAGCACAGUAUGAGCUUGCUCUUACGGGUGGCGAGUGGCGGACGGGUGAGGAAUACAUCGGAAUCUACUUUUUCGUGGGGGAUAACGUAGGGAAACUUACGCUAAUACCGCAUACGACCUACGGGUGAAAGCAGGGGAUCUUCGGACCUUGCGCGAUUGAAUGAGCCGAUGUCGGAUUAGCUAGUUGGCGGGGUAAAGGCCCACCAAGGCGACGAUCCGUAGCUGGUCUGAGAGGAUGAUCAGCCACACUGGAACUGAGACACGGUCCAGACUCCUACGGGAGGCAGCAGUGGGGAAUAUUGGACAAUGGGCGCAAGCCUGAUCCAGCCAUACCGCGUGGGUGAAGAAGGCCUUCGGGUUGUAAAGCCCUUUUGUUGGGAAAGAAAAGCAGCAGGUUAAUACCCCGCUGUUCUGACGGUACCCAAAGAAUAAGCACCGGCUAACUUCGUG
rnacentral:rRNA from 1 species